CUCUUUUAAACAGGACCCUCCACUUUUCCACCAGUUUGUCCACCGGUGAAAAGGAGAAGCCAGCCAAGAACCAGCAGCUUCUGGCUACCUUGAUCAGAAGGUUGAUGAAGGCAAUGAAACAAAGAUGGAAAAACACAUCACACAGGUAAUUGCCUGUGCUCUUCCGCCUCCAGAGUGACACAGGUGCCUGGAAGGCAUGUUAGGUUGGGGUGGAGCCAGGGGAGGGGUCCAGCCAGAAAGAGGAUCUGGGAUGAAAGGCUGUUGCUGCCUUCAGAAAGCUCAGUGACUGGGGAGACAAACAUGUUUCAAACAAGGGGCCAUAGUGGCAUUUGGCAUAUUGUAAACUAGAGGCUUAUAGAAGAUGCUAAGAGAGGUUUGGAGAGUGCUGUGGUUUGAAUGUCCCCUCCAAAAUUCAUGUUAAAAUUUAAUUGCCAGUGUGACAGUAUUUAGAGGUGAUGAGGCCACGAGGGCUCCACCCUCAAGAAUUGAAUAAUGUUGUUACUGCCGGAGUGGGUUAGUUUUAUGAGAGUAGGCUGCUUGUACUAGUGAAUUUGACCCCCUCUUGCUCUCUUGCUCUCUCAUGCUGUCUUGCCUUCCACCUUCUGCCAUGGGGGUGACACACCACAAAGGCCCUUACCAGAUGCCAGCAUCUUGAUAUUGGACUUCCCAGCCUUCAGAACUCAAUUACAAAGAUAUGCUAAUGCUCUGCACCAAGUGGCAGCUACAUGCUUGAGACCAACACUGAAAAUCAGUCAUGGAAUCACUGCAUAUCUGAACAAGGGCCACGAGAGGAGGCACAGAUGGGUCAACUGACUUGAGCAGAGCCACCCAGCAAAUUCAGCGUCGGAGUAUGGUAACUAGAUCUCCUGAUCCAACCAUCCUUCCCUGCACCCUCCCAUCUAGGCUAAUGAGGAGAAAUGUAAUCACGGUGGUAAUUGCAGGCAAAGAUGAGCAUCACUUGGUAAAGCAAUAUGUGUACUUGAGUUGGCCAUAUGGAAAAUCCAGUGCAGGAUAUGGGGGUGAAUGGUCAGUUGCUGUGUGUCAUUGGUGGGAUGGAAUCUAUGGCCU
rnacentral:lncRNA from 1 species